rnacentral:rRNA from 1 species
AGGGUUUGAUCAUGGCUCAGAACGUACGCUGGCGGCACGCCUAACACAUGCAAGUCGAACGAAGUAGCAAUACUUAGUGGCAGACGGGUGAGUAACAUGUAGGUAUCUACCCUUUGGCCUGGAAUAACACGAGGAAACUUGUGCUAAUACCGGAUAAGUCUUUACGGAGAAAGCUUUAUGCACCAUUGGAUGAGCCUGCACUUGAUUAGUUUGUUGGUAGGGUAAUGGCCUACCAAGACUGUGAUCAAUAGCUGAUUUGAGAGGAUGAUCAGCCACAUUGGGACUGAGACACGGCCCAAACUCCUACGGGAGGCAGCAGUGGGGAAUCUUGCACAAUGGAGGAAACUCUGAUGCAGCGAUGCCGCGUGAGUGAAGAAGGCCCUUGGGUUGUAAAGCUCUUUCGUCGGGGAAGAAAAUGACUGUACCCGAAUAAGAAGGUCCGGCUAACUUCGUGCCAGCAGCCGCGGUAAUACGAAGGGACCUAGCGUAGUUCGGAAUUACUGGGCUUAAAGAGUUCGUAGGUGGUUGAAAUAGUUGGUGGUGAAAUCCCAGAGCUUAACUCUGGAACUGCCAUCAAAACUUUUCAGCUAGAGUUUGAUAGAGGAAAGCAGAAUUUCUAGUGUAGAGGUGAAAUUCGUAGAUAUUAGAAAGAAUACCAAUUGCGAAGGCAGCUUUCUGGAUCAUUACUGACACUGAGGAACGAAAGCAUGGGUAGCGAAGAGGAUUAGAUACCCUCGUAGUCCAUGCCGUAAACGAUGUGUGUUAGACGUUGGAAAUUUAUUUUCAGUGUCGCAGCGAAAGCGAUAAACACACCGCCUGGGGAGUACGACCGCAAGGUUAAAACUCAAAUGAAUUGACGGGGACCCGCACAAGUAGUGGAGCAUGUGGUUUAAUUCGAAGAUACGCGCAGAACCUUACCAACACUUGACAUGUUCGUCGCGACUUUAAGAGAUUAAAGUUUUCGGUUCGGCCGGACGAAACACAGGUGCUGCAUGGCUGUCGUCAGCUCGUGUCGUGAGAUGUUGGGUUAAGUCCCGCAACGAGCGCAACCCUCACUUUUAGUUGCCAUCAUUUAGUUGGGCACUCUGAAAGAACUGCCAGUGAUAAGCUGGAGGAAGGUGGGGAUGACGUCAAGUCCUCAUGGCCCUUACGUGUUGGGCUACACACGUGCUACAAUGGUAUUUACAACAGGAAGCAAGACAGCGAUGUUAAGCAAAUCCUUAAAAGAUACCUCAGUUCGGAUUGCACUCUGCAACUCGAGUGCAUGAAGCUGGAAUUACUAGUAAUCGUGGAUCAGCGUGCCACGGUGAAUGCGUUCCCGGGUCUUGUACACACCGCCCGUCACACCAUGGGAGUUGGUUCUACCUUAAGGCAAGGCAUAAAACCCUUGACUACGGUAUAGUCAGCGACUGGGGUGAAGUCGUAACAAGGUAACCGUA